GGACUCCAGUGGACUUUCCAGAGCGCCCGGAGGAAGCUGGAACGCUGGCCGGGCUGAGCUGCACUACCUUCGCAAUUCAAAUGAGAGACGCUGUGUCAGCCUUUGACAGGAGAGGCAGAGAGAAGAAACUCCAAGCUCUGUCAGGCAGAACGAGAGUCCUGAUUCUCUCUCAGGCUUGUGGGAUAUACAGCAGUGACACAGUCCUGUGGUGCCACAGAGCCCACAGAUCCAGAAUCCAAUGGUUUGAUGGCCCCAAGACAGGGCAGUGGGGGACUUGUAGGUCCUCCAGCAGGCGUGCCUCUCCCCUUCCUCCUACUCCUCCUCCUUUGUGGCCAGACACUACAUGCCCAGGGUCAAGUGAGACUGUUCAAGCCAUCGACUCACUGAGGGUUGAAGAUGAUGAUCGAUCGGCAAAGGCAAUCUGGAAUCUGCUGGCAUCACGGCACAACAUCAACAUCCCUCUAACCACAGUCAGAAGACAGUUGAAGAAACUUGAGUGGACUUAUGGAAAGGCUCUCCUCCAGCCUCCAGCGGCGGUCUGCAGCCCAGAGCCUCCAGCGGCGGUCUGCAGCCCAGGGCCUCCAGCGGCGGUCUGCAGCCCAGGGCCUCCAGCGGCGGUCUGCAGCCUAGAGCCUCCAGCAACUGUCUGCAGCCCAGAUCCUCCAGCGGCGGCCUGCAGCCCAGAUCCUCCAGCGGCGGCCUGCAGCCCAGAUCCUCCAGCGAUGGUCUACAGCACAGAACUUCUGAUACCACAGGAGCCAACCCCUCUCCAGAGAUGGCAGAUGACAGGGAUUCUCCUCCAGAAAAGAAGUCUGCCGUGGCUGAGCUUUUUGGGGAGUUGUUCACGACCCAGGAGCAGGGAACCAAGUCAAAGGUCAAGGUCAUGGAGGAGGAGGUGACCUCACACAGGGAAGUGGACUGUAUUCCCUUGGAUGCUGAUCCACUUACAUUGUGGAAGACCAAAGUGUUAAUAUAUCAUCAUGUUGCCAAGGCGCUGCCUGGCUGUGCCUGGGACCUCUGUCCCUAGCGAGAGG
rnacentral:lncRNA from 1 species